AUUGAACGCUGGCGGCAGGCCUAACACAUACAAGUCGAGCGGAUGAAGGGAGCUUGCUCCUGGAUUCAGCGGCGGACGGGUGAGUAAUGCCUAGGAAUCUGCCUGGUAGUGGGGGAUAACGUCCGGAAACGGGCGCUAAUACCGCAUACGUCCUGAGGGAGAAAGUGGGGGAUCUUCGGACCUCACGCUAUCAGAUGAGCCUAGGUCGGAUUAGCUAGUUGGUGGGGUAAAGGCCUACCAAGGCGACGAUCCGUAACUGGUCUGAGAGGAUGAUCAGUCACACUGGAACUGAGACACGGUCCAGACUCCUACGGGAGGCAGCAGUGGGGAAUAUUGGACAGUGGGCGAAAGCCUGAUCCAGCCAUGCCGCGUGUGUGAAGAAGGUCUUCGGAUUGUAAAGCACUUUAAGUUGGGAGGAAGGGCAGUAAGUUAAUACCUUGCUGUUUUGACGUUACCAACAGAAUAAGCACCGGCUAACUUCGUG
rnacentral:rRNA from 1 species